AAAUGACAGUGGUACAACAUGAGGAGUUUUAAUUUGGUCAGGACGGGAACGUAGCAGCCACGUAAACGAAUUGUGUGUGUACCGUUUUUGUGAGGGAAA
rnacentral:SRP_RNA from 1 species